ACUGGAGUCAGUUGGCUGCUGUGAGGACAAGGAAGAGUCAGUGCUUAGAGGAGAUGCCCACAAGGAACAUCAAGGAGGAUUCCAGAGUUUGUGGAUGCACCUGCAAACACCUGAGGGGCUGCUCUGACUUGCUGGUGGUUCAUGGAUGGCUCCAGGGCUGAGCUCAGUCCUCCUCCAUCCCUGAUAAUGGCUGAGGAGGCACGGGCUGGAGAGAGGCGAGGCCGUUUCUUCCUGGAGAAGUAGCAGAAUCAGCAGCCAGCAACAGGAACGCAUUUGUCCCCUCCAGACUGAGCAAAGUCAAAGUGGAAACUACAAACAAAGGUGUUUAUGAACUUCUGAGGGCUCCUGUGAGUGAUCUUAGGCUUCCACCAGGGCUGGAAUAGCAGCUCAGUGGGGGUUUGUUUUCCCUCCUGCUGCAGCCCCAUUUCCUUCCCUCUCAGUCUUCCUUUCUCCCCCUUUUUAAGCCAGGGAUGUGGUUUUGUGCUGUCAUUUGUCAAGGUUGCUGGCUGUUGGAGACACCAUGUCCUGUGGUGAG